rfam:Pseudomonas alkylphenolica strain KL28 chromosome, complete genome.
CUCGUUGUGCGACCAACGGUAGCCUACGACGGCAUGCAUCACUGGCAACGGUGGUGUGUGAAGCCCGUCAGACAACGUAGCCCCCAUAUGGGUGCAUCUCUUCCGCGAGGAGGAAUGCAGAGACUCGGAGCAGUACCGGGUUGAGGCG